UUGGUGCCUUCGGGAACUGUGAGACAGGUGCUGCAUGGCUGUCGUCAGCUCGUGUUGUGAAAUGUUGGGUUAAGUCCCGCAACGAGCGCAACCCUUAUCCUUUGUUGCCAGCGGUCCGGCCGGGAACUCAAAGGAGACUGCCAGUGAUAAACUGGAGGAAGGUGGGGAUGACGUCAAGUCAUCAUGGCCCUUACGACCAGGGCUACACACGUGCUACAAUGGCAUAUACAAAGAGAAGCGACCU
rnacentral:rRNA from 4 species